rnacentral:rRNA from 1 species
GUGGUAAUGCCGGAUGCUCCGACUCCUCGCAUGGGGUGUCGGGAAAGAUUUCAUCGGUAUGGGAUGGGGUCGCGUCCUAUCAGGUAGUCGGCGGGGUAACGGCCCACCGAGCCUACGACGGGUAGCCGGCCUGAGAGGGCGACCGGCCACAUUGGGACUGAGAUACGGCCCAGACUCCUACGGGAGGCAGCAGUGGGGAAUAUUGCACAAUGGGCGCAAGCCUGAUGCAGCGACGCCGCGUGCGGGAUGACGGCCUUCGGGUUGUAAACCGCUUUUGAUCGGGAGCAAGCCUUCGGGUGAGUGUACCUUUCGAAUAAGCACCGGCUAACUACGUGCCAGCAGCCGCGGUAAUACGUAGGGUGCAAGCGUUAUCCGGAAUUAUUGGGCGUAAAGGGCUCGUAGGCGGUUCGUCGCGUCCGGUGUGAAAGUCCAUCGCUUAACGGUGGAUCUGCGCCGGGUACGGGCGGGCUGGAGUGCGGUAGGGGAGACUGGAAUUCCCGGUGUAACGGUGGAAUGUGUAGAUAUCGGGAAAGAAACACCA